GAUGAAGAACGCAGCGAAAUGCGAUAAGUAAUGUGAAUUGCAGAAUUCAGUGAAUCAUCGAGUUUUUGAACGCAUAUUGCGCCAUCUGGUAAUCCGGGGGGCAUGCCUGUUCGAGCGUCAUUAAAUAACCCUCAAGCAUAGCUUGGUGUUGGGCUUUUUUACGUCCUUGACUGGGAUGGGCCUAAAAAUUAGUGGCGAUGGCUUUUUUACUUUCAAGCGUAGUAAAUCUCGUCUUGCUAAAGAGGAAAAAGAUUUUUUUUCUGCCAAAAAUUUUAACAUUUAAAGUUGACCUCGGAUCAGGUAGGAUUACCCGCUGAACUUAAGCAUAUCAAUAAGCGGAGGA
rnacentral:misc_RNA from 1 species